CCCUUAGAUGUUCUGGGCCGCACGCGCGCUACAAUGAUGAAUUCAACGAGUUUAUAACCUUGGUUGAAAAGCCUGGGUAAUCUUUUGAACUUUCGUCGUGAUGGGGCUAGACCCUUGCAAUUAUUGGUCUCCAACGAGGAAUUCCUAGUAAACGCAAGUCAUCAGCUUGCAUUGAUUACGUCCCUGCCCUUUGUACACACCGCCCGUCGCACCUACCGAUUGAAUGGUCCGGUGAAAUCUUCGGAUUGAGACUUUGAUUUCUUUAUUGAAAACGCUGUUUUAAGAAGUUGAUUAAACCUUACCAUUUAGAGGAAGGUGAAGUCGUAACA
rnacentral:rRNA from 1 species